CAAGACGGCUUCAGCUAUAUGUAUUGAACGCAACUUUCGGCAUUCAUUUUGCAUCGAUGAUAGCCUCAAAAUAGAAAGCGCUGUGUGGCUUUCAUUUCUUUACCCUUAAAUUCACACAAAUCCCCAGGAUGACCUCACUUUCGUAUCGGACAACGUUCUUUGUUAUUAUUGUUUCAGCAGCGCAUGGACAUGGGAGCGAAGGCCACCUCGUAGCCGAGAAUGGACAAAGUGGGCUAAGUGCGAAAGCCACAUGCCGCUCAUUACAAUUGUAUACGCAUGCAGGACCGAAGCAAGUUACCUGCAAGGUCGACUGCAAACAUGAAGGCCCAGGAGCAACAAUAAUGCAUAAUUCUAAGAAAGGAGAUGAAUGCCUAACGGUUUCUCCUGCAGGUUUCGAUCAUAUGAAAUGUGAAGUCAAUUACACGUGUAAAUUAGGCUUAUGUGACCAUGCACUUGAUUGUCAGCCCUCCAAUUUGCUUAUCGGAUGCUGGAAACCUAUACCUACCAAUCAGUAUUCUCAUGUUAUAUCAUACAAGUGUCCUCAAUAAACUAAUGCAUUGCAUAUUUCCAUA
rnacentral:lncRNA from 1 species